rnacentral:rRNA from 1 species
UCGAGAAUUUUUCACAAUGGGCGCAAGCCUGAUGGAGCGACGCCGCGUGGGGGAUGAAUGGCUUCGGCCCGUAAACCCCUGUCAUUUGCGAUCAACCGUUAUUAUUUAAAAGAUGGUAACCUGAUAGUAGCGAAAGAGGAAGGGACGGCUAACUCUGUGCCAGCAGCCGCGGUAAUACAGAGGUCCCAAGCGUUGUUCGGAUUUACUGGGCGUAAAGGGUGCGUAGGUGGCGGUGUAAGUCUGAUGUGAAAUCUCCGAGCUCAACUCGGAAACUGCAUUGGAAACUACAUUGCUCGAGGGUUGGAGGGGGGACUGGAAUACUUGGUGUAGCAGUGAAAUGCGUAGAUAUCAAGUGGAACACCAGUGGCGAAGGCGAGUCCCUGGACAACUCCUGACACUGAGGCACGAAAGCUAGGGGAGCAAACAG